AGCUCCAAUAGCGUAUAUUAAAGUUGUUGCAGUUAAAAAGCUCGUAGUUGAAUUUCGGGACUGGUUGGACGGUCCGCUCUAGGGUUUGUACUGUCCUGACUGGGUCUUACCUUCUGGCGAACCGUCAUAUUGUUAAUUUGGUGCGGCGGGGAACCAGGACUUUUACUUUGAAAAAAUUAGAGUGUUUAAAGCAGGCAUUCGCUUGAAUACAUUAGCAUGGAAUAAUAGAAUAGGACUUUGGUUCUAUUU
rnacentral:rRNA from 1 species